UUUUCAUUACCUUUAGGUUUAUUGAUUAAUCCAAAAGUAAACAUACAAUUCGAGUGGCCACCGCACUUUUAUUUGUCCAAAGGAAAGGCUAAAAAGCGAACAAAAGCCAAGUAAGAAGUUUUAUCAAAUCAAAAACUAAUAAAAAUGUCAGAGAUCUGGGUAAGGGGGUUAGUUAUUAAAUGGGAAGGUUUUAUGCACCCAAAACAUCCUUAGUACUCUAAGGGAACCCUUUUUGCAAAUAUGUGUUGUAGGUUGGUAUUUG
rnacentral:lncRNA from 1 species